rnacentral:lncRNA from 1 species
CUCACACAUUCUCGUAACUGACAUCCUGAGCAGUUCGCAAUUCACUCUCUUGACAGCACAUGGGGCCUGGCAACUGCUCCAGGAUCCCACUUAUCUGCUAAGACACAGCGCAGGAGCAGGGCCUGGAUCUGGAGCCACCUGUCCGGAUGGAGGAGGAGAAGGAGGUGAUGGAGGAGGAGAAGGAGGUGAUGGAGGAGAUGGAGGUGGAGGAGAGAGUGGUGGAGAUAGAACAUCCUCUGCCAUGCCUCAGUGAAUCUGACACACAAGGCAUUAUCAAGGGCAGAGAUCUAUUCGGAUAUGUCGGCAUUGAGGCAGUGUUGGACCAGAUGAGACGCAAAACCAUGAAGGCUGGCUUUGAAUUUAAUAUCAUGGUGGUUGGUCAGAGCGGUCUGGGGAAGUCAACGCUCGUAAACACACUCUUCAAGUCCAA